UGCUACGUAACUAUAUAAUAAAGUCGACAAGUGUUAGCCUCUUCGCAGUACUUAAUAGAUCUGCUAGCAUUCACAAGUGUAUCAGAAUACUCAUGGCUAGUAUCUGCUUGGUAUUACUCACUAUUGUCCUAGUUGGACAAAUAGUCACGGACGGGCAAAUGUGUAAUAAUGGAGCUGUAAAGCUAUCAGUAGCAGGAUAUUUCCUUCUGAAAGAAAAGUAUGUACAGUACUGCCAUGAUGGAGAAUGGCAUUGGCUGUGUACUGGUGGUGGAAGCUGGAUGAGAGUGGAGGCCAAUGUUGUGUGCAGUUAACUGGGACUCAGCGACCAAGGAGCUAACAUAGGAGGUGGUACAAUGCUAACAGCAGCUGAUCAACCACUAGCCUACUUUAUGUUUAGUGGCAGAUGUACUGGAGAGGAAAGUAACAUAGGAGAGUGCAAUAUUCAUACCAGCACAUGUAAUAAGAGUGCAGGAUGGGUAAGAUAUCAACCAGGUAAGAGCAUUAACUUUUGCAAAUCAAAGUUAAUACUGCAUGAGAUAAUUAUACAGCCAACUGUAACGGUGGAGACAUAAGACUGGUGGGUGGUUCCACUAACAGAGAGGGACGAGUGGACGUCUGUAUGCAGGGAUAUUGGGCAUCCAUCAGUUACAAUGAAGUGCUGGCAGGCACUGUAUGCAAAAUGUUAGGAUAGUACUAACUCUUCUAUUGACCCAAAAGCCAACUGUACAGUGACAGAUGAUGGUGCCACCCUGAAAACAAAACAAGACUGAUUAAAACUAAUUACACACACUAACAGAUGGCCAUGGGACUACUAUCCAGUGAAAACUUGGAUGGGCCAAGUCACUUCCAGCCCGAGCACUUGUACCCAGUUCCAAUGAACUAGAAGAAACCAGACCAGCAAUUUUAAUUGUUUCGUAUUAUUGAGCAGUGUCUCAGAGUGGAUUUGUACAAUAUUCACAGGCUCGACUAAACAUUGUGAUAGCACUAUUUGCAGUGGCACCGGGAGCAGUUAUUGGUGUUCUAGUGGUCCUACUCUAAUUGGUUGUGCUAUUGCUAGAAGGAGAAACACUAACGGCAGCUAAUGUGUAAAUCAGUUAUUGCCCACCUAUAUUUUAUGCUAACUAUAAUAGUGCAUGCAGUUCCACAGGCAGAGGAAUGAGUCGUACGUUCUUCGAGGCGUGAUAGAACACUGCCUAGUAUAUACUGUCCAGCUAAAAUGGAGAAUAAGAAACCUUGUGUCUACAAGUCAUUCACUUUCAUUCAACGCCUACUCAGUUUAGAGAACUGUUGUGUUUGUGGGUUAACUAUGACAACAAAAGACGGACAAAUGCAACACAUGAAAGUAAUUAUUACUACUAAAUUAACAACUUGCAGCAUUAUAUAGCUUGUGCACAGUACAUGUAGACUAUACUUAAAAAUUACUGCUUACAUUCACAAGAGUAUAAUUAUAGCUUGAAUAUUAGUCAUGGCGAAUAUUAUCUCAGCACUACUAGGUCUAGUCACUAUUGCUUUAGUUGGACAACUCUCUGCAAUAGCACAAAGCUGUAAUAGUGGACAUGUUCAACUGUCACAUAACACAACGGACAAUAGAAGCUACGUUCAGUACUGCAUCGAUAGUAUUUGGAGGACUCUGUGUACUAGAUCGUGGUCGCGUGUUGAAGCGAAUGUUGUAUGCAGACAGCUAUAGGCUACAGUGACCAAGGAGCCAUAAAAGGGAUGAUUGGCUUUGGUGACAUUAUGGGAAAGUUCUUCAUGUUCAACCAAUCUUGUGCUGGUGGGGAGAAUACAUUAGCAGAGUGUAAGCCAACAAAUACAUUGGAACACUGUCAUUUGAGUGAAAAAAACAGACAAGGAUGGGUAAAAUACAUUCCAGGUAACGUGAUUUUUAGUCUAAUCAUAAACUAAGCUAACUGUGCUGAUGGAGCCCUAAGACUAGUGGGUGGGUCCAACAUAAAACAAGGACGAGUGGAGGUGUGUCAGAACAAGCGAUGGGGUACAAUAUGCUACAACCAAGCACUAGCUGGACAUGUUUGCUCUCAGCUAGGAUUUCCAAGCCAAGGUAAGAAACUUAUUCACAGCAAAUUAAAACAAUUUUUGUAGGAGCAGCAGCGAAGGAAAUGAAUACAACUGGCCCACAAAUUAACUGUAACGUCGAUACCAACAAUAGGUUGAGCUGUGGGAACAUCACUGACAGUGGGUUAUGUGUUCGAGGUUUAGCCGUUGAGUGUCCAUCGUUCAGUGAUACAAUAGCUACCAGUGCACUAGGAUCAGUGAUUGGACUUUUGGUGCUAUACUGGAAGUAGGGACAGUUAUUGCGUGGGUGGAUUGUAGGAAAAGGCGCUUAAUUCCAACAAAACAAAGCUAACUUUGCAUCCUAUAAUUAUAUGCUAUAACAUGCAGAGUUUUAAUACAAGUGAAUGAGAGCUACACUGACACAGCUCCUAUAGAACCGAGCUACAGUUCACUAGGUCCUAACUACAAUACUGUGACUACAAGCGAUGAAGGAAUUGGUGACUAUGAUGUCAUUGAUCACAAAAAACAGAAACUGAAACCAGCCAACCCACCACCAGUGAAGGUUGAGGCCAGUAAGAGUGAAGUAGAUGAGUUCUUCAAUACAGAGGUUCAUAUGUACGUAGCUGUCAAUAAGAAGAAAAGGAAUAAUGCUGGGGGAGAAUGAGCCUUGCAACUACAGUUAUAUAUAGCUAUAGUGUGUAGAGACACACUUGCAGUCUGUCAUCAUAGUAGCUACAUAGUUAAUACAUAAUUAUACCUUUGUGUAUGCAUCAUAACACUGAUUGUACAACAGUAAUCACAAUUCACAGUUGAAUCAUGAGGUGAAAACAAUCAAAGAAUUAAUGAAUACUGGGUCUUCUUGAAAGUUAUCUCUAGGGCUAUUGAGCAACUGUUAGAAUUCUUAGAAUAUGUUUUUGUUUUCAGGGACUGAACACUAGUAUCACUUGCUGUGUACAGAAUAAGCUCCAUUGGCUAUGCAGUCACUGUACUCAAGAACUUAUUGUAAAACGCUUUUUUUCAGUCAAAAAACUGUUGUACAUAAUCCAAAAGCUCGAUUACAUUUUGCUACCAUUGUAUAGGUACGGCUUGUAUCCAUGGUGAUGUCCGUAUAUAUAUGCAGAGUGGACCAGAGGACUGGGUAACUGCCUGGAGUGUUUCAGGUCUGUGUUAAUGGAGUGGAGAAGGGCAUGCAGGAAAUCAGGUGAUCUACCAGGGCUACUAAAUUAUAACUGUGUAUAUGUGCGCUAAUCUCAUAGUACCU